GCUGGUGUAGCUCAGUUGGUUAGAGUAUGUGGCUUUUAAACCACAAGGUUGAAGGUUCAAAUCCUUCCUCCAGCA